rnacentral:sRNA from 1 species
CACUCUGAACCGGAACAGGAAGAGCGGCCGGCCGGUCCCCUGCCCGGAGGUAACCUCUGCGGAGGGCGCUCUCGUAGGGAUCGCUGCAUCAUUUGUUGAGUUGCCUUUGCCUUAAGUAGCGAGCAUUUGGAUGAGACUGGGACUUGAUUCCUUUUUUAAGGCCAGAGAAACCGAGUCUAAAGAGAUUCUUUUCCCCCCCACACUCAUUUUGCACAAAACUUUUUACUUGGAAUUUGUUUUUUGAGAUGGACGUCUCACUAUGCAGCUCUGACUGGCCUGCUCGCCAUGUCGACCAGGCUGUCCUGGAAAUCACAGAUAUCCUUUGUUUGACUCGAGAAUGCUGGGAUUACAGGACUGUAAAAGGCAGUGAAUAUGGAGUUCCCUACUCCCCAGUUGUGAGGAUAAAUGGCCAGGCGGGAGAGAUAACUCAGCACAGACCGAGACCUUAACAUACUGAAGGAUCAAAAUACUGAAGAGACAUUCUCUGGGCCUCAAUGCCAUCGCCUGUAUGUCUAGUGUGUGUCUUUACACUGUCUAAUAAGGUUCCACGAGUCGUAUGUCAGAUUAAAGAGUGGAAAUGCACAGAUGUGCAGCACAGCCAUCCUUUCUCAGGCCACUUCUGUUAAGAACCUCUCGAAAUGCAAGCUGGGUUGGCUGAACUCAUAUUUUAUAUCCUCUCCUAAGCUGUUUGUCAAGGUAAUCAUAUACAUUUUAGAAGCAUGUCUUCCCAGGGCGAGAUGGGAAAAGCAGUAUUGAUCUGCUAGCUGGAUCAUAUGCACAGUCACCUGUAUUUCCGUGCACAGGCCCUGAGGUAGGAAGGUCCUGCUUCUCUCUUCUACUAGCCUUUCGUCUUCAGAGGCACAGCACUGUGACUGCAGGCUAGUGGCUACAAGAUAACUCACCCGAGUACCGAGCAAUAUUAUCACAGUUCUCAACACAGCCGACCUCUUAGCUCUGCUAGUGUUAAACAGAGCAGCACAUGCAUUCUUCUGUCACCUAAGAACUGUGUUGUGGAAGUCAAGGUAGACGAAAGCACAAGUCUCUGACCUUCCCUGUCACCUUCCCGAAAGAUUGCUUUCGGCUCCUUCCUUCCCCAAAGCAUCUGAUCAUCUUAGGGGUCAGGCUUCUUUAUACAUAAACUAACCUAAUUUCAGGGAAGAGAUAUUUUGAGUCAUUUAGACUAUUGGACUCUAAACUAUACCUGCUGACCCCAUUCUCCCUAGGCUGGCUCAGGACUUGGUAACAACAGAAGACAAGAGAGGAGCUGGCAUGGUAGCAAACCUUUACUUAGCUCCAGCACUUUGACCUAGGGGGCAGAGGCAGACAGACC